AAACACAUGCAAGUCGAGCGGUAGCACAGAGAGCUUGCUCUCGGGUGACGAGCGGCGGACGGGUGAGUAAUGUCUGGGAAACUGCCUGAUGGAGGGGGAUAACUACUGGAAACGGUAGCUAAUACCGCAUAAUGUCGCAAGACCAAAGUGGGGGACCUUCGGGCCUCAUGCCAUCAGAUGUGCCCAGAUGGGAUUAGCUAGUAGGUGGGGUAACGGCUCACCUAGGCGACGAUCCCUAGCUGGUCUGAGAGGAUGACCAGCCACACUGGAACUGAGACACGGUCCAGACUCCUACGGGAGGCAGCAGUGGGGAAUAUUGCACAAUGGGCGCAAGCCUGAUGCAGCCAUGCCGCGUGUGUGAAGAAGGCCUUCGGGUUGUAAAGCACUUUCAGCGGGGAGGAAGGCGGUGAGGUUAAUAACCUC
rnacentral:rRNA from 1 species